rnacentral:rRNA from 1 species
ACACGGGGGGCGCAAGCGUUAUUCGGAAUUAUUGGGCGUAAAGGGCGUGUAGGCGGUUUUAUCGGUCAGAUGUGAAAGCCCAGGGCUCAACCCUGGACGUGCAUUUGAAACAGUAAGACUUGAGUACGGUAGAGGAAAGCGGAAUUCCUGGUGUAGAGGUGAAAUUCGUAGAUAUCAGGAGGAACACCGAUGGCGAAGGCAGCUUUCUGGACCGAAACUGACGCUGAUGCGCGAAGGCGUGGGUAGCGAACAGGAUUAGAUACCCCGGUAGUCC